rnacentral:rRNA from 1 species
GAUGAACGCUGGCGGCGUGCCUAAUACAUGCAAGUCGAGCGAACAGACGAGGAGCUUGCUCCUCUGACGUUAGCGGCGGACGGGUGAGUAACACGUGGAUAACCUACCUAUAAGACUGGGAUAACUUCGGGAAACCGGAGCUAAUACCGGAUAAUAUAUUGAACCGCAUGGUUCAAUAGUGAAAGACGGUUUUGCUGUCACUUAUAGAUGUAUCCGCGCCGCAGUAGCUAGUUGGUAAGGUAACGGCUUACCAAGGCGACGAUGCGUAGCCGACCUGAGAGGAGGAUGCGUCACCCUUGAAAGGGGAAAAGGUCCCAAACCCCAAGGGAGGCCAGAGGGGGGAAAUUUUGCGAAAGGGGGGAAGGCUGUACGGGCCAACGCGGGGGGGUGAAUAAGGGCUUCGGAUUGUAAAACACUUUAUUUUGGGGAGAAAAAAAGUAAGUUAAUACCAUGCAGUUUUGACGUUACCAAAAGAAGAAGCACCGGCUAACUUCGUG